rnacentral:misc_RNA from 1 species
AAGUCGGAACAAGGUAACCGCAGGUGAACCUGCAAUUGCAAGAAAUUCUUUAAUACUUGUGUGCACUGUUUUCUCUCUCGGUGGAAAGAUUAACCUUUUUCACCAACUUUAAAAAACUUUGUGCCAUUAAUCUUAAAUUUAUCAUUUGAAAAUAUAUUUUAACAGCGGAUCUCUAGGCUAUCA